rnacentral:rRNA from 1 species
GAUGAACGCUGGCGGCGUGCUUAACACAUGCAAGUCGAACGGACGGAUUGGAGCUUGCUCCAUGAAGUUAGUGGCGGACGGGUGAGUAACGCGUGGGUAACCUGCCCUAUGCAGGGGGAUAACGUUUGGAAACGAACGCUAAUACCGCAUAAUCUAGUUGGUUCGCAUGAACCGGCUAGCAAAGAUUUUAUCGGCAUAGGAUGGACCCGCGUUGGAUUAGCUAGUUGGUGAGAUAACAGCCCACCAAGGCAACGAUCCAUAGCCGGCCUGAGAGGGUGAACGGCCACACUGGGACUGAGACACGGCCCAGACUCCUACGGGAGGCAGCAGUGGGGAAUAUUGCACAAUGGGCGCAAGCCUGAUGCAGCGACGCCGCGUGAAGGAUGAAGGUCUUCGGAUCGUAAACUUCUA